ensembl:lncRNA
GUAGAAGCUCUGAGCUGUCCGAUCUGGUCCAUUGUUUACUGAGGUGGCCCAAGGAGAACUCCUGAUUGACAUGUAUACUAUGGUGCAUUGAGUUGGUUGCAACCUCACCAGUGCGCUGACAAUAAACAAUGAUUGAUUUAAGAUUGACUUCGAGUGUCCCUGUUUAAGAAUUUCCACAACAUAAGUAUACCGGAAGUUCUAUUAGCAUACUUGGGAGGUCUGGAAAACGAAGCACACAUGGGAGCAUACUUUUUAGUUCCCUUCGCCAGGGAAGCUAUCCCAUAACACUUUGCAACACAGCAACAAAAAAAAUGUAAGGAAUAAAUAACUUUGUUAAAUGGACAGAUGGCAACUGAUGCGUUCCUUUCAUUCCAUGGCAGGACAAAAUAUUUGUGCCCAACUGGUUUGGAGGCAAGACAUUUUAACAACAUUUGAUUAAAAACAUAGGAAAUGCAGCUAGCUGUGUUCUGUUCAAUCUAGGCUUGCUAGCCAGCCAAGUUAUUUGUGCAUUCAUACAUGAUCAGUCAAUACAUGCAUGCAGUAUGUUCACCUGAUGUUCGCUAACUUUCUUGUUACUUUCCCCUCCCCUCGUAUUUCACCAUUGCAUAUAAAGAAAAUGUUUUAAAUGAUAAAGUAAAAGUAAAUUAGUGACAACUUGAUCAAGCCUAUGAAUAUGUAAAACUGUUUACAAAAUCAUUGCACAUUGACAAGUUAGUUUUGGUUCUCAGCAACUGGAACCCGCACUGAACUUUGAGCAGCAAGGUUAAUUUCUUCUCCUUUGGCAUUAUAUUCCUGCUCUGUUCUCCUCAGGUUUAAGCACAUCCCACCCCAUCAGCCAGACAGAUGUAAAGAACUUGCAAACCUCUUUCCCGAACUUGAAACGUCACUAUGUUAAAAGUAGAUCCAUACGUUGUUCUCUAUCAUGCAGAAUUGUCAGCUUAUUGUAACAUGAAGCUCAUUCUAAAAUACAGACGAGUGAUUUCUGCCCCAGGGUACUGCACCGUGUGCAUUUUUAUUCCUGCCCAGCAAUCAUGUUAAAUUAUUUAUUGUCUACAAUUUAGACCACAGUAAGUUGAAUGGGGUGUUUGUGAAAGGCUGGAGCAAAAACCUGUAAACUCCUGUCCUCUGUAUAAAAAACCUGUGGCUUUUAUGACAAAAUGUGCCCUCGUGUACUGAACAAGCUUUUGAAUGUUAAUCUCCUUGAUGUGCCUCACUUGGGGAUGAUAAAAGGUUUAUUCUAUUCUACUGAGCCAUUUACUUUAUGUUCGUAUUAUCUUUUAUUAUUUAUUGUUGUUUUAUAGUUGAAGGAACCUGCAAGUAAGCAUUUCAUUGGACCAUGUGUAUCCUGUACAUAGGACUAAUAAAACUUGAAAUUUGACUUCUUUUGUACACUGGACUGUGUUGUAAGAAUUCAUACACAGAUACAGGAAAACCAAUUAAAGGGUCCAUAUUGAUUUUAAAUGACAAGUGUUGUCUCCCCACGGUUUUGAGGCUUACGCAUCUGGGGACUGCAUUUCAUUUGUCUAAUCACCUGC